rnacentral:rRNA from 1 species
CCCUUAGAUGUCCUGGGCUGCACGCGCGCUACACUGAUGUGUCCAGUAAGCACCUAACCUCUUCCGAAAGGAACGGGUAACCUUUGCAAAGCACAUCGUGAUGGGGAUAGAUUAUUGCAAUUAUUAGUCUUGAACGAGGAAUUCCUAGUAAGCACAGGUCAUCAGCUUGUGUUGAUUACGUCCCUGCCCUUUGUACGCACCGCCCGUCGCUCCUACCGAUUGAAUGUUCCGGUGAGCUCUUCGGACUGCGCGGUCUGCAGUUUCUGCGUUCCGUGCGGAAAGUUGCGCAAACCUUAACAUUUAGAGGAAGGAGAAGUCGUAACA